CCCCCGGUGCCAAAGCAACCCUGGCCGUGAGCCCGGACCUGCUGGAGGCUAGCGAGGAGCUGCCGCUUGCUCCAACUGCAACGGAGGAAUUCCUAUUGGCGGAGGAGGAAGUGCCCCCGGUGUCAAGCUCACCGGAGGCUUUCGCGCUGGCGCGGAGACAUUCGGCUCCUGACCUGUUUUCGCCAACCGAGGUGCGAGUGAGAUGGGCAGGUGAGGGUUCUCGUUUCUGGGCGCUAGCUUCUGGAGAAAGCUCUGAUGAGGAGUGCGAAGACGUCGGUAAGGGGUCGACGGAGUCGGGCGGAGAUGGUAAGUUCGUUCGUGAUGCUCUCUUUUCAGGAUUUUCGAUUGAUGAGUUGAAAAGAGCAGAAGCUCUGUCUCUGGAAGUGCAAUCUCCUGCUUUUGGCUCAGCGGACUGCGGAGCAGGUCAAGCAAAACAUCCACGUACGUUGGCUCGAAGGGUGGUGGAUGCAGUGGCUGAGAGAAGAGAUCGGAAAAGUAAAUCAUGGAAAGGCCCUCUGCCGCCGGCGAGAUCUUCCCCACCGUUAUCACUAGGUGAUAUCGUGGUGAGAGACUCCCGUUCACAUGGUGCAAAGGGAACAAGAAAAUGUCUGUCGGAGUUUUGCGACGCCCAGCGAACACCGGUGGCCGUGGAGUCACCGUCGCCGGGGAAGAAGAAGACUGCUUCAGAUCUAGAUGUAGAAUUUGAAUUUCGAAAUUGCAUAAUGGUUCAACUUGCUGGGCCUAAGUGUUGGGCCGACCAGGGACAAUUGAGGGCCCAAAGGACUUUCAAGUGUGCAAGGGCAUUAGGGCUGCUCUUUAUGAGAGCAGGGAGACCCGUCGGCUUCCCAAAGCCACAUUCUUCCACUCCCACAUCUCCUAGGUUCCCGUGCGCGUCGAGCGACUCAUUGAAUGCGGCAAUGGCUGGUAGGUAGAAGGGCGUGGAGAGGUCUCAUGGCUUCGGCGACCAUGCCGAGCGCGAUGGGCGUCAACAGGGAGGAAGGGAGUGGCCUGAGCUACAUAGGCCAAGGUUUGAAGGGCAAGGCAGGUACCAGGGAGGAAGAAGUUUCGAGGAGGCGCGAGGUGUUCCGAGGGAGUCUGGGAGGAUCGGAAACAACGGGCGAGGGGGUGGCCGGUUCAUGGCGCGCGGCCGCGGCCGCGGCCACUUUCAGUAUGGUGGUGCUGGGGGCUCCAGGGACCGGAGUUGGCAAGAGAAGAAUUCUGGCCGGACCCGUGGAGGGAGGGGUUCCAGUGAAGGGAUGCAUAGCUCCCAGGAACAGCACAAGAACAGGAUCUCUGGGGCUUGUUCGUCAUCCAUGGAAGGGGGCACUAAGAGCAAAGAUAAGAUGGACGAGAUGAGGAAAUAUCAGCAAGGCAAGCAAGACAUGGAGAUGACAGAUGCAGCACGAAACGAUGAAGCUGAAGGUGGUGACGUGAGGACAGGAAUCAAGUGUGCAAGAUGCACCAAGAAAGGGCACUUAGCAGCGAACUGCACAACAGAAAUUUAUUGUGUUAUUUGUGAUCGGAAAGACCAUGUAAAUUUUAGAUGUCCAGUGUUGAAGAUGCCUAGGCCGGUGGCGCAUGCGGUUGGCUAUGCGGUUCACGGUCUAGGUUUCUAUCAUAUUCCUCACCCUCCCUUGCCGAGGGCUAGAAAGGAUACAAAGAUGGCGCUGAUUUCAAUAGAGGGCGGGCAGCUUGAUAAGGAGGAGGUGCAAAGGCAACUUGCGAGAAUCUUCCCAGGAAAGUGGCAGUGGGAGCUUAGUGAGCAUGAAGAUAACUCUUUCAUCACUAAAUUCCCAUCCAAAAUCGAACUGCAAAGGGCAAUUGCAUUUGGAGGGGCAGAUGCUAAAGGUGUUGAUAUCCCUGCGGUAAGGAUUCGGUUUGAUAUGUGGCAUGAAAAGGAGACUGGAUAUUUGCUACCAAAGGUAUGGGUAAGGGUCUAUGGCAUUAGAAAGGAAUUAAGGGAAUUUCAGGAGUUAUGGACGGUAGGCUCGAUGCUUGGUUCUACGCAGAUAGUGGAUAUGGAGACAACUAGAAAGAGUGAUUUUGGACGCAUCUUUGUGGCUGUCCUUAAUCCGAAGCUUAUCCCAGCAAGCCUUGAUGUGGUUGUUGGGGAUCACUACUUUGAAUUGGGCUUUGAGGUGGAAAAAAUUGGAGUGGAUGAGACGGGGAAGAUGCAGUUUUUGAGUGGAGUGGGGAAGAGGAUGGUGAAGGAAAGGGAGAGAAGGGUGACAAGGAGUUUUCUCCCAGAAAAGAAGAGCUCGAGAGAGAGGCCAAGAGACACAAAUACUCUAGUACUAUUGGUGGAUCGGAGGGGAAGGCUGCAGGUUCAGAGACUUGCUUCAAUGCAAAUGACCUGAGUACCUUUAAAGAGAAAGUGUCGAACAUGAAUGAGGAGGAAUUCAGAAUGUUCUUGAAAGAGAAAGCGGAGGAAACUAUGGAUAUAGCUGCUGAUCGAGUCUUGGAGGAGAUCGCAGAUAAAGUGAUGGGGGAAGAGGUGUUUCCAACAGCAGUUUCAGGGGGGUUUAGUGGCUUUGCUGAGGAAGGGGAAGGGGGUGCUACAGCUGAUGGGAUGCAUUUGACAGAAAACCAUGCGGAGAACUCAAUGGAGAGCAACAAGAGGAUGGAAAGGGCAGCAAUGAUACCGGAGGCGACAAUACCGCAUGUCCGCUCCAGUCCAAGGUUGUCGAAGUCUAAAGAUGAACACACCUUGAUCAGAGCUGAGGAAAGGGCGGCAAAGAAAAAUCUCGAGCUCCCGGGAGGUGAUCUUCAGAGGGACACACUGGAUACGAUGUUGGGCGCUCCUUUCUAAAGAGGAAGAGAAACUCCGACUGCUAAGAGGCUGCAAGAGUUUGGAGAUAACAGCUAUGGACGUUUUGAGCAAAGCUGGGUGGAAUAUCUUCAAGAGAAUUGAUAACUAGAAUCUAUUUAGAUCUUAUUGUUGUCUCUUUGGGGUGAUCUAAAUCUCUUGUAUCGUGUCACUUUAUGUGGUGUGCGGCUUAUAUGCUGCAGGGUAGAAUCUCGUUGGUUGUAUGCGAUCAAAGCCUUGAUUGCAGAGACCGGUUUAUUAUCCUUCAUCUAAAAAAAAAUCUGAACAUCUGAUCGUCAACAUGAAGGUUGAUCGUCGAAA